UGAGGUCAGGCAAGACCCCGCCUUUUGACCUA
rnacentral:rRNA from 1 species